UUGUGACUUAAUAGGUAUUCAUUGAAGACUUGCUACAGGCCUCAUUGCUGGGCCAUGUGUAGAGAGUGGAAAAUAUAAAACAAGAAUUCCUUUUUUCACUGAGUUCAUUAUGUAGUUGAGGAGAUGAGGUUAGCACACCUGAUGUUUAUUUGAGUGCUGCCUAUUUGCAAGAUGAGGGCAAAAAGAUGAAUACUCAAUCUACUUUAGCCCUACUCUGGCAAAGCCAUACCUUUGACUUUGGCAUAAGUACUUUUCUCACCUUCCUGCUCUACUACCCCUUUUUUAAAUGAACCCUUAUUUUUUGUCUUAGAAUCAAUAUUAUGUAUUGAUCCCUAGGGAGAAGAGCGAUAAGGGCUAGGAAAUGGGGGUUAAGUGACUUGUCUAGGGACACACAGCUAGAAAGAGUCUGAGGCCACAUUUGAAUUGACAACCUUCCAUCUCUAGGCCUGGCUCUCAAUCCACUGAGCUACCCAGUUGCCCCCUUAUACUUCUCUUAAUAUCUGCUAAUUAUGAUCUUCAGCCUCAUUUCAACUUCUGGCCCCUUUAUCCUUUUCCCAAUUUCUAUAAUCCAUUGGUUCCCUAAUGACUACUUUCUUUUCUAUCUAGUUUGGCCAGCCAAGUGGCACAAUGAAUAGAGUGCCAGGCCUGGAGUAGGAAAAUUUAUCUUCCCAAGUUCAAAUCUGGCCUCAGACACUUACUCGAUAUAUGACCCUGGCCUGUUUGCCUCAAUUUCCACAUUUGUAAAAUGAACUGGAAAAGGAAAUGGUAAACCACUUCGGUAUCUUUGCCAGAAAACCCCAAAUGGAAUCAUGUAGAGUCAGACAAAACUGAAUAUCUAGUUUGGUCUCCCGAGUCGGCCAUUCCAGAAUGCCCUCAAGUCCCUUCUGAUUUUUUACAGAGCUUACUGUAAUUUUUUUUUUUGCUGUAUUUGCUGGAAAAAGUUAUAAAACCAUGCUGACUAGGUUUAUAACAGUUUCAUGCUAUCAUGCUUCAACCAGGUCCUCCCUGCCACUUGCCAAUUCUCAUUUCUUAUUGAUUUCCACUAGAACAUAAGUUCCUUCAGGACAAUCUUUUUCAAUUUUUGUCCUAACAUCCUUAGCACCCUGCACAAAUUAUGUACUUAAAGAUGCUACUUUAAUCCUUACAAAUAUUCCCUCCAGCUGCAAAACCUUAAAUUCCUAGUUACCCUUCCACAUCCUAUAUUAUCUUACUCCUUGCUUUUUAUUAAAUAAAAAUCUGCAAAUUGAUAGGUUUUGUGAGUUCCAUAUUGUUAUUUCAUCUACAAAUGAAAUUAUCUUCUGAUUAGUCUUAUUAUUAUUAUUUUUAAUUUAGAAUAUUUUUCCAUGGUUACAUGAUUCAUGAUUUUCCCCACCCCUCUUCCCUCCCUCUCUUGGAGCUGACAAGCAAUUCCACUGGGUUAUACAUGUAUCAUUCAAAACCUAUUUCCAUAUUAUUCAUAUUUGUAAUAGAGUGACCUUUUAACAAUAAAACCCCAAUCAUAUCCCCAUCGAGCCACAUAAUCAUUCAUAUCUUCUUUUUCUUCUUGAAUUGCUACCACUAGCAUUUCUAGUACAAUAGUAAAUAAUAGAGGUGAUAAUGGAUAUUCUCGCUUCCCUCCUGAUCUUACUGGGAAGGCUUCUAACCUGUCUUCAUUGCAGAUGAUACUUGCUGAUGGUUUUAGAUAUAUACUGUUUAUUAUUUUUAGGAAAGGCCCUUCUAUUCCUAUGCUUUCUAGUGUUUCCAAUAGGAAUAAGUGUUGUAUUUUGUAAAAGACUUUUUCUGCAUCUAUUGAGAUAAUCAAGUGAUUUCUGCUGGUUUGGUUAUUGAUAUGGUCAAUUAUGUGGAUGGUUUUCCUAAUAUUAAACCAUCCUUUCAUUCCUGGUAUGAAUCCUACCUGGUCAUAGUGAAUAAUCGUCAUGAUAACUUGCUGUAGUCUUUUUACUAGUAUUUUAUUUAAGAUUUUUUUCAUCUAUAUUCAUCUAUGCAUCAUCUAAUCUCAUUAAGGAGAUUGGUCUGUGGUAUUCUUUCUCUGUUUUUGGUCUGCCUGGCUUUGGAAUCAAUACCAUAUUUGUGUCAUUAAAAGAAUUUGGUAAGAUUUUUUUAUCUUUGCUUAUUUUAUCAAAUAAUUUUUACUCUAUUGGGAUUAAUUGCUCUUUUAAUGUUUGAUAGAAUUCAAUUAUAAACCCAUCUGGCCUUGGAGAUUGUUUAUUAGGAAGUUCCUUGAUGACUUGUUCAAUUUCUUUUUCUGAGAUGGGAUUAUUUAAGUAUUCUAUUUCCUCUUUUGUUAAUCUAGGCAAUUUAUAUUUUUGUAAAUAUUCACUCAUUUCACCUAGAUUGUCACAUUUGUUGCCAUAUAAUUAGGUAAAAUAGUUCUUAAUAAUUACCUUAAUUUCCUCUUCAUUAGAGGUGAGAUCACUCUUUUCAUCUUUGAUACUGUUAAUUAGCUUCUCUUCUUUCUUUUUCCAGUACUUUAUCUAUUUUAUUUGUUUUUUCAAAGUAUCAACUCCUAGUCUUAUUUAUUAGUUCAAUAGUUCUUUUACUUUCAAUUUUGUUAAUUUCUCUUCUAAUUUUUAGGAUUUCAAAUUUAGUUUUUAUCUGGGGAUUUUUAAUUUGUUCUUUUUCUAAUUUUUUAAGUGGCAGUCCCAAUUCAUUGACCUCAUCCCUCUCAAUUUUGUUGCUAUAGACACUCAGAGAUAAAAUUUUCCCCUGAGUACUGCUUUGGCUAUAUCCCAUAGGUUUUGAUAUGUUGUUUCCUCAUUGUCAUUCUCUUUAAUAAAGUCCAUAAUUGUUCCUAUGAUUUCUUUUUGACCCACAUGUUUUGAAGAAUUAGAUUAUUGUUUCCAAUUAAUUUUAAAUUUGCCUUUCCACAGACCCUUGUUAAGUAUAAUUUUUAUUGCAUUAUGAUCUGAAAAAAUUACAUUUAUUAUUUCUGAUUUUCUGCAUUUGUUUUCAAUAUUUCUAUGCUCUAGUACAUGGUCAAUCUUUGUAUAUGCACCUUGAACUGCUAAGAAGAAGAUAUAUAUUCUUUUUUAUCCCUGUUCAGUUUUCUCCAGAUAUCUUUUAACUCUAAUUUUUCUAGUGUUUCAUUCACUUUCCUUACUUCUUUCUUAUUUAUUUUUUUGGUUUGAUUUAUCUAGUUCUCAAAGGGGAAGGUUGAGAUCCCCCACUAGUAUGGUAUUACAGUCUAUUUCCUUCUACAAGCUUUCUUGUAGAAAUCUAGGUGCUGUACCAUUUGGUGCAUGAAUGUUUAAUAAUAUUAUUUCAUUGUUUGUAGUACCCUUUAGCAAAUUGUUAUUUCCUUCCUUAUCUCUUUUAAUCAGAUCAAUUUCUGAUUUAGCUUUGUUUGGUAUCAUGAUUGCUAUUCCUGCUUUUUUUACUUUAGAGGAUGCAUAAUAAAUUCUGCUCCAGACUUUUACCUUGAAUCUGUAUGUGUCACCCUGUCUCAAAUGUGUUUCUUGUAGACAACAUAUAGUAGGAUUCUGGUUUUUAAGCACCUCCGCUAUCUGCUUCCGUUUUAUAGGUGUGUCCAUCCCAUUCACAUUCAGCAUUAUGAUUGCUGUGUAUUGCCUUCCAUCAUAUUAUCCCCUUUAAAUCCUGCUCUAUUCCCUUUCUCUCUGUUAUCCUUCACCACUAUUUUGCCUUUUUGUCACACACCCCCUUCCCCUCCCUCUAGUUGCCUUCCUUUUCCCUUGUCUUAUUCCCCUUCUACUUCUCUUUGGGGUAAGAUAGAAUUCUAUACUCCACUGAUUAGAAUAAGAUAGAAUUCCCCACUGUGUACACUUGUUUUACCCUCUCUGAUCCAGCUACAAUGAGAAUAAGCUUUCAGCAUUGACCAUCACCACCUUUCUCCUCCCCUCUGUAUAAUGAUUUUUCAUACCUCUUUAUGUUAUAUAGUUUACCCCAUUCUAUCUCUCCUGUAAAUCUUGAAAUCUCUCAGACUUGUGAAUGUUAAAAAUUUCCCCAUCAGGGAAUUCUUAAUUGGAACAAAUUCCCUACUGAGAAACAUUCCCCAUUUUGAUGUGAGAACUCGCCAGGAUCAGAAAUGGGAGGACCUCUACUCCAACCUUACUUAAGACUGCUUUAGGGAAAAAAAAAACUCCUUGCUAAACAAAGAAAGUUCUUGGAUCCAUGCUUAUGGUGGGGCAAGGAGUUCUUUGAGCCAGGCCUGUUUUUAGAAUUGAUACAAUGGGAUGCUAAGUGCCCAUAAAGGUGGGGCAACUUGUAAACUACUUAGACCUAAAAGGUAAAAACUUACUCAGAGGUUUUCUCUUAAUGAAAUUAGUCAACACAGCAGCAUUUUUUUUCUCUUACUAAAGAGAUUAAUCUACUCAGCUGUGAAUUCAAAAUGGGCUGUCUUUUGGAAAACAUCUACAGUGAUUGGUAGAUGUAGGGACUUAGGGGAGGUGACAUGGGAGAAAAACCGCUAUAUAAGAAAAAGCAGAAUCUCUUGAGGAGAGAUAUAUCCUUUUGGAUAUAUCCUUUUGGAGAAAUCCUUUUGGAGGAUCUCUGAUGAGGAUAGCUUGGGAAGAAUCUCUUGAGAGAGGCUCUGGAGAAGGGAAGCUCUUGGAGGACAAUCUCUAAGGAGGUCUCACUGGAAGGCUCUCUGGUGAAGUCACCUGAUAUGGAGCUAGCCUGGUGUUACUAGAAUCCUUGUUUAGUCAGACCUUGUGGUGAGUGUUAAAAAACUGACUGAUUUCUCUUUUAAAGACUCAGGUCUAGGCCAUAUUGGCUUGAGGCCCUUCAUACUUAUUCCUUUCUUACUCUCUCUCUCUCUCUCUCUCUCUCUCUCUCUCUCUCUCUCUCUCUCUCUCUCUUUCUUUGAUUACUCAUUGUAUUGUUAAUUAGAAUCUCUAUAAAACCCAAUUGACUUGGGUAUUUGAAUAAUUGGGAAUAUUUCCCUGGCGACCACCUUAUAUUUGAUUUUAAAACCCAAGACACUGUAGUGAAACAUAUUUCUGCGGUCAAAUUUACUCACCCUCUCUUAUAUCUAUCACAAUUUAUAUCUUCCACUAUUUCAAUCACUACAGUUUAAGACCUCAACCAUUUUAAAUCUCACACUCCCUUCCCUUAUUUCUUAGUGCAACCCUCUCAGCCCUUGAUAGAUUUUUUACAUAUUAUUCAUAUGCAUAUAUAUCAUGCCAUAUAAUACAUAUAUAUUGUUCCAUAUCACAUUUACAUAUAUAUCAUAUCAUCAUAUACAUCAUAUCAUAAUCAGUUUACUUCUCUGUCCUCUUUCUGAGUUAAUUCCUUCUACUCUACUACUAAGAAUGAUUUUUGAGAAUUACAGAAAUCCUCUUUCCAUGUAGGCAUAUAAACAUUUUCGCCUUAAUGAGUCCCUUAAAAUUUCUUUUUCUUAUUUACCUUUCUGGGCUUCUCGUGUCUCAUGUUUGGACUUCAUAUUUUUUGUUUAGGUUUGGCUUAUUCCUCAGGAAUGCAUAGAAAUUUUCUAUCUUAUUGAAUGUCCAUUUUACCCCCCUGAAAGGAUAUACUCAGUUUUGCUGGAUAGGUGACUCUGGGUUGUAAACCCAAAUCUUUUGCCUUCCUGAAUAUUAUAUGCCAUGCCUUUGUAUCCUUUAAUGUAGAAGCUGCUAGAUCCUGUUUGAUCCUGAUUGUAGCUCCAUGGUAUUUGAAUUGUUUCUUUCUGACUGCUUGAAAUAUUUUUUCCUUGGCUUGGUGACUUGAAUUUAGCUUUCCUGGAAAGUGUCAUUUGAGGAUUUCUUUCUAGAGGCGAUCUGUCAAUUGUUUCAAUUUCAAUUUUUUUUUUUUGUUUGAGGAUCUCUGGGAAGUUAUCUUUGAUAAUUCUUGUAAUAUUAUAUCCAAGGUUUUUUCUUGAUCAUGGAUUUCAGGUAGUCCAAUAAUUCUCAAAUUGUCUCUCCUAGAUCUAUUUUCAGGGUCAGUUGUUUUAUCAAUAUACUGUUUGUAGAUAGAAAGGGAACAUUUGAACGAUUAUGAGAAAGAUCUAUGUUUCAUAUCUAGCAGAUUAUUCAAUUCAUUAGAGUAUUUGAACAUUGUAUUAUUAAGACUGUGUUAGGUGUUAGCUGCUAGGGGAGAUGGGACUAUAAAUAAGAUCUAGUUCCUGUCCAUAAAGAGAUUGAAAUUUCUAAGAGGUUCAUAUAUAUAUAUAUAUAUAUAUAUAUAUAUAUAUAUAUAUAUAUAUACAUAUAUAUGAUUAUACUAUAAAUUGGAGUACAAUUGAUAAAAGGAAUAUACAAUCCUAGAAAUCAGUGAAGGUGAGAUCACUUUAAGUUGUAGUGAAGGGUGGAGAUUAGGGAAGGCUACCCUGAAGAGGCAACUCUUACAUUGGACCAUGAAAAGAAUUAGGAUGCUAGUAAGGAGAGAAUGGAAGGAGAACACAGCAUCAGGCGAUGCUUACAUAUAGCAGGAGAAAAGAUGUUAGAGAAGUGGCUUGAGAAGUAGGAUGGAAACCAGGAAAAGCAUUGUACUACUGAAGCUAAGGAACAGAGAAUAUGGAGGAAGCUCUAAGACAAGAAAAGACCUUUGGAUUUAGCAGUUAGAAGAUCACUGGUCACUUUUAAGAGUUAGGCUCAGAGACAAUUUGGUUAUUUUAAAAACCCCUUACCUUCCCCCUUGGAUUCAGUACUGUGUACUGGUUCUGAGGCAGAAGAGUGCUAAGGGGUAGGCAAUGGGGAUUAAGUGACUUGCCCAGGAUCACAUAGCUGGGAAGUGUCUGAAGCUCCAUUUGAACCCAGGACCUCCCGUCUCUAGGCUUAGCUCUGUCUAUUGAGCCAUCCAGCUGUCCCCAGAGACUAAUCUUUCUUUCUCCACUUGUUCUCAUCCUUCCCAUUCUUGUCUCUUAUUUUUGUUUAUACUUUCCUCAUUCCUGGAAUGGAUUUCUUUUUCACCUAUGGAGUACAGUAGGUUAGAGUGCUAGAUGUCGAAUUAGGAAACUCUCAAUUCAAAUCUGGUCUCAGACAUGUACUAAUUUUGUUAUCCUGGUCAAGUCACUUAGACCUCUGUUUGCCUUAGUUUACUAAUCUGUAAAAUAAAUAUAAAUAACAUAGGACUUAGCUGCUAGGGUUGUUUUAAGGAUAAAAUUAGAUAAUGUUUUUAUACUUAUACAAAUUUAAAGCAGUCUAUAAAUGCUAGCUCUUAUUAUUUUACUCUUUUGUUAUCAUCAUCAUCAUUGCCAUAAUAGAGAAGUCCAGAGAUUUAGGGAAGGAUUCCUCUUUGAAUUUUUCAGCUGAAGAUCCAGAAUUCAAACUUGUCUCACUGGUAACUCUUCUUGUGAUAAAGUAUAAACAACUUACCAGCUUUGACUGCCUUCCUUUUAGACUGAGCUAUUUAUUCCAAGGUUUGUUUCCCAGAAAGCCCCUCUUUAUCUCUAGAAUUCUAAGUUUAUUCUCCCAAACAGUUAAAGAUGUACUUCUCUUUCUAAAGCACUCAGCACAGUGCCUGGCACAGAGUGGGGACUAUAUAACAGCUUAUUCCCUUCUCUUCCCUUCUUCCUAUGAACAAAAGGAAACGUAAUUGAGGGCUUUCUAGUAGAACAUCAUGGAGUCUCCUUCUGCCCCUAAUUAAACACUGUGACCUCAGGCAAGUUAUUUAAUCUCUCUGUGUGCUUCAGUGUUCUCACCAAUAAGAUAGAGAUAAUGAGACAUUCCCUUCCUAUCUCACAGGUUAUUGGGAAGCAGUAAAAAUGUUUUCAUUAAGUUUUACUUUUCUGCUUUUCUCUCUACCUUGGAGAGCUCAUUUAUUUUUAUGAAUUUAACUCUCUCUCAGAUGAUGGCUCCCAAAUCUAGAUCUAUAGUUCUUUUCUUUUACCUGAACUCCAGUCCCAUAUCUCCAGUUUUCUACUAAGCACUUUAACAGGGAGGAAAUGUCCAUAUCGCUUCAAAUUCUACAUGUAUAAAACCAGCUUCUCCUUCUAGCUUACUUAUUUCUUUCAGUAGCAUCAUCAAUUUCUCAAUUAUCAAGGUCCAAAACUUGGGCAUCUUCUUUGACUCAUUCUUCUUUCUCAUAUACUUUAACUUAACAGUUACCAAGUCCUUUCAUUUCUCUUGUUGAGAUGUCCCUCAGAGCCUCUCCUUCCCAAUUUGUAAUAACACUUCCGGUGACCCCUCCCCCUCAUUUCAAGCUUUCAUUGAAUCAUUCUCAGGUUAUUAAAAAAGACUCAAAGUUCAACUUCUGACUUACUUUUCUUUCUCAUCAUUUCAUCAUCCUGAAUUACUAAGACCAUUUAAAACAGUGAAAUCAACAAAAAGUGCAAAAACUCCCUCCCGAAAAUGUAUUACCAGACUGAGAAAAGGACACUUGUUUACAGCAUAGGAACCAAAACAAGAAGGGUAGCAAGAAGGGUAUCUGUCACCUUAUCCAGUUGAGAACAUUCACAAUGAGUGACUUCAGUUUUUUGUAGCUCUGUGCACAUCCACAUGAAUGACUAUGAAAAUGCCAUGACUAUAACUUUGAGGGUAACAAGUAAAUUUUGUCAAGUAGGCAAAUUCACAAAUAUGAAAUCCAUGAAUAAUGAGGAAUGACUCUUUCUCUCUCUGUGUAUUUUUAUGUAUGCAUGUGCCUAUGUAUGUAUAUGUGUAUUUCUCUUUACACACACACACACACACACACACACACACACACACAGACUUUUACCUAAAUAGGCCUUGAAUUCAAUUUUGAAAAUAUUCUCAAAAAAAGUUUUCAGGCUUUCACUUGAUCAGGGUUCCACUCUUUCAUUCUCUUAAUCUUUGAUACAUUCUUAGGUUUUUGACAAGGUAAAUUAUGUUGUGGAAGGAGGUAGUGGUUUAGGGGAUGGGUUAGAAUUAGACAGCUGUGAGAAACGUGUUCCUUAUUUGUUUCUGUCCUGUUCUGUCUGCCUCCUCAUUAGAUGAGCCCACUCACUGGUCCCAUCUUCAGUCCUGUCCUACCAGGGCUGAAGGUCAGAUUUGGUCAAUUUAAGUAAAAGAGACUUCAAAUCUCAUAGUGAUUUACUGCCAUUUGGCAGGCAGAUUGUGGGUGUGGUCUGAUAAUGGAAUCUCUCAGAGUAACUGAUCAGCUAGUCAUAAUAUUGUGAUCUGCUCUAAGACACUGGCAGAGUCAUCUUUGUAAACAUGCAAGAAAUCAUAGCAAAGAUAAAGCUUACACUAAAGCUCAGCAUUUUAAAAUAUCUCUCACAUAGCCAAUUUACUUGGCAGACUUUUUAUUUUGUAGGUAUUUAAUCCUGGGGCACAGUAGUGGUCUUGCCUAUAUAUGGAAUAUACCACUAUAUGAUUUAAAGACUGUUAGGAUAAGCCUCUGACACGAAAUCCUUAGUUACUCCUUGGGGUUAGAAUGCAAAUGUAACAUAGAAAGGUUUUACAUUGGACAGUUAUUACGUUUUGAGCUUUUCUUCUGGAUUCCCAUAGAACUUAGUUUAUAUGAAUCAUAUACCAUGUAUCUCUUUUUUCCUCCCACUAACAAUAACCUAGCCAAGCUCUAAUCACUCAUGUCUGAACCAGAGCUAUACCUAAGAUAGAACAACUGGCACCUUGCUUCCAGGUCCCUAAUUUAUACGGUAUUAUCAUUUCCAUAUACUAACCUCCCUACCACCCCCUUUCUUCUUCCCCUUCUACUUUUCUAUAGGGUAAUAUAGGAUUCUAUUCCCCAAUGAAUCUGACUGUUACUCCCUCUUUGAUCCAAUUCUGAUGAGAGUAAGAUUUAAGUAUUACUAGUCGCCACCCUCAUCCUUCCCUCCACUGUAAUAUUUUUUUCUCUAUGCCUCUUUAUGCGAUGUAAUUUACACCAUUUUACCUCUCUUUUCUCAUUUCUCUCAGUGCAAUCCUCUUUUUUAACCCCUUGUUUUUUUUGCAUAUCAUCCUAAAUACCCUCUGUCCAUGUUUAUUUCUUCUAACUACUAUGAUAAUAAUAAAAAUUUUAAGAGAUACAAAUAUUAUCUUUCCAUGUAGAAAUAUACACAGUUCAACCUUACUGAGUCCCUUAAGUUUUUCCUUUUAUUUACAUUUUUAUGCUUCUCUUGAUUUUGUAUUUGGACAUCAAAUUUUCUGUUUAUGUCUGAUCCCCUGAAAGAAUGUAAUCAGUUUUGAUGGGUAGAAGAUGAUUCAUCAUCUACUCAGUUCCCUUGUGUUCCAGAAUAUUAUAUUCUAAGACUUUUGAUCCUUUAAUGUAGAAGCUGCCAAAUCUUGUGUAAUCCUGAUUGGUGCUCUGUGAUAUUUGAAUUGUUUCUUUCUGGCUGCUUACAGUAUUUUCUCCUUGACCUGAGAGCACUUGAGCUUGGCUAUAACUUUCCUGGGAGUUAUCAUUUGGGGAUUUAUUCCAGGAAUCAAUCUGCGGAUUUUUAAAAUUUCUAUUUUACCCUCUUGUUCAAGAAUAUCAGGGAAGUUUUCUUUGAGAAUUUCUUAUAAUAUAACAUCUAGGCUUUUUUUUUAUCAUGACUCCCAGAUAGUCUAUAAUUCUUAAGUUGGCUCUUGCAGAUCUAUGUUUGAGGUCCAUUGCUUUUUCAAUGAGAUAUUUUAUGUUUUCUUCUUAACGUCAUAUUGCCUUUUAAGAAAAAAACUACUUUGGCCUUUGUGGCAGAUAUUAUUUCUGCUGGCUUGUUUAUUGUUCCUCUCUUGAAUGUGCUUCAGAUUUUCCAGCCAUCAGAAAUAAUACCAUAUCACUAAUAGAUACCUUCAUUGUCCCCCACCCCUUUCCAGCUCCCUUUUGUGUGUAGUUUUCCUUUGUUAGAAUGUAAACUCUGAGGGAAAGAAAUAUUUUCCUUUUUUUUUGCAGUAUUUGUAUACCCAGUGCUUAACACAGUGCCUAGCACAAAGUAAGUACCUCAUCAUUGCUUGUUGCUUGCCUCCCAUAGAGGUGAACCUCAGAGUUUAUCUUGAUUUGUAUUUUUUUUUAAUUUUUUUUAGUAUAUUUUCUCAUUGAUUUAUAUUUUUCUAAUCAUUAGUGAUUCUACUUAAAUUUUAGUAAUGUGUUUGAUAAAGUACCUCACGCUGUUUAUUUGGAAAAGAAGGAGAAAGGUCAACUAGACAAUGAUAUAAUUGGAUAAUUUGAAAUUAGUUGUAUGGCUGGAUUCAAAGGAAUAGUCAUUAAUGACUCUAUAUCAUGGAAGGAAAGCUGAAGUUAUCUGCCAAUAACUUGGAAGUAGUAAUAGAUGACAUGCUUAUCAAACUUGAACAUAGAACAAAGAUGGGAAGAAUAGCUAAACAUAUAUUGUUCAUAAAUCUUAGAUGAAGAGGCAGCCCUUCUCCUUACUGAGGCCAAAUUCCCUAUAUGUUCCUUUAAUGGCAUUUUCAGCAAAUUGUCCCAGAUAUCACCCAUAUUUGUCACCUAUUCUUCAGGCUCUCCACAUCUAUAAACAUUGUAGGUGCCUUCAUCCUGAAAAAUAAAAACAACCCAACAACCCUCAUUUGAUAUGACUAUCCUCAUUAUGUAUCUCUUCUCUUCUUGGCUGAGCUUCAUGAGAAAUAUAUCUAUAUUAAGUAUCUUCACUUCCCCCUUACUUACUUAUAAAUUCCUGGUUUCAGAUCUCACCUUUCAAUGAAAACUUCCUCUCCAAAGUUACUAAUGAUCUCUUAAUUGGGAAAGCAAUUAUCCCAUCUCAGACCUCAUCCUUUUUGUUCUCUCCUCAGAAUUCAAGAUAGUUGAUCUCUACUCUUUGCAUUUAGGUUUUCUUGACUCUUCUCUGUCUUAGUUCUCCCCCCCUCUCUUUCUGACUACUCUUUCUUUGUUGUAUCUUCAUCCAUGCCACACUCACUAACCAUAGGUGUCCCCUAAGAAGCUGCCCUGGAUCUCUUUUCCUUUUUCCCAGGAACUUAUUUCAUUUAGUAAUUUCAUUAACUCCCUCAUCAGAUACCGUCUCUAUGCAGUUGAUUCUCAGAUCUAUAUACCUAGCCCCCAUCUUCUCUGAGUCCUUCAUCACCAGUUGCCUCUUGGAUGUCUCAGACUAGGUAUCUUUUCUUUUUUCCUAAAACCAUUACCUUCUGUCUUAUAAUAAUACUGUGUAUUGAUUCUAAGGCAGAAGAGUGGUAAAGGCUAGGCAAUGGGGGUCAAGUGACUUUUCCAGGACACAUAGCUGGGAAGUGUCUUGAGACCAGAUUUGAACCUAGGACCUCCCAUCUCUAGGUCUUGCUCUCAAUCCACAGAGCUACCCAGCUGCCCCCUCAAAUUAGAUAUCUUGUCGGCAUGUUAAUGUAUCCCAAAGAAAAUUCACUCUCUUUCCCCAUAAACUUUCCUUUCAUCUGAUCUUCCUUAUUAUUGAAUGAGCAUCAUUGUUCUCCUAGUCACCAGGUGGCUCCCCAUAUUAGUGCCAUCUUUUACUCCUCAAUCUCACUCAUCCCACCUAUGUAAUCCAUUGCCAAAUCUUGCCAUUUCUGUCUUCUCCACAGCUCUUGUUUAGGUUACUUUCUCCACUCAUCCAGUCAUUGUAUAGUUCAGGCCUUCACCAACCAAAGUUGCCAGCUUCACUCUGUCUUCUAGAGUCAUUGAAGUCCAGUGGCAAGACAAAAUUCAAAUCAACCAUUGAUGGUUCAGGAUGUAGUGGAUAACUUUGGCAUCUUUGAUGUCCAACUAAGCUCUAAGUGCUUCACAGUGUUUGCUUCCAUCACCUUCAUGGCUGUGGAACAAAUUGUUCUAAUCUACCCCUUCUACUGGGGGAAUUCUUCACAUGCCUGGAAUAGAUACCUCUUAACUCACCAAAAAGUUUAUUGUUUUUUAAGACCCUUAUAUUCCAUCAUGGAAUUAAUAUUGAUUCAAAGGCAAAAGAGUGGUAAGGACAAGGCAAAGGGGAUAAGUGACUUGACCAGGGUCACAUAGCUAGAAGUCUGAGGUCAGAUUUGAACCCAAGACCUCCCAUCUCUAGGACUGGCUCUCAAGCCAUAGAGCCACCUAGCUGUACCCCUCAUUGACAGGUUUUUGAGGUCUCUCCUUUACAAUAGUCUCCUCAUUGUUUUCUCUGUAUCAAAUCUCUCCCCAUUCCAAUAUAUCCUCAAAUCAUCUGCCAAAGUGAUUUUCCUAAAGCAUAGCUCUAAUCCUGUCACAUACCCUCCUGCCCCCCACUUCUGCCAUUUACUCAGUUAAAUCCCUAAUAACUCCACGAUCAAAUAUCAAGCCCUUUGUUUGACAAUUAAGACUUUAUGAUUUGACUUCUGCCUAUCUUUCCCUUCCAUGUACCACAUUUCAUCUCUGCUGGUUUAUUUGCUAAUCCUUGAACAGAUAUUUCAACUUCCAUCUCUGUGAUUUUGUAGUUUUUUUUUUUAGGGAACUAAGCUCAGACAUCUCAUUUCUCACUUACCUACUCUGUUCUUUGACUUCUCUGACUUUUCCACUAUGCAGUUAGGUACCUCCUCCAAUCCCUUUAGCUUUUUGCUUACCCAAUUAGUCUUACCAAUUAGAUUAUAAGCUCCUUAAGUGCAGGGGCUGCUUCCUAUUUUAUAUUUGUACACCUCUUAUUUUUAUAUAUAUUUACAUGUUGUUUCUUCCUUUAGAAUGUAAACUCCUUGGAGGUAGAGACUGUUUUUUACUUUAUUUUCCUCUCCAGGACUUAGCAUGAUGACUAGCAUUUAUAAGAGCUUAAUAAAUGCUAUCAGCAACAAAUCAUUUGUUAUUUCAGAAGGGAACGGUUUAUACUGGCAUUUCCUACAUUCUUUGACUUUCUCUACAUUAUACUGGACUUUAAGAAUCCUUAACUUGCCUAACAGUCAGUUCUAUGUCCAGAAGAGGUCAGGCUUGUUCUCUUGUAAUGCUUUGCAGUUGUAGCCAAUAGUUACAGAUAACCAAUCUAGCAUUGUUCUUGUGGUAUACUAUCAAGUUAACCUAUUUUCUUCCUGUGACUGUUUUUUUCUGAAACAGAAUGAGACUUGACAUUAUGCCUUCUAACUGGUCUUCUAACUAAUCUUGCCAUUUUCCAAUCUGUUUUAUACACUUCUGUCAAGUUAAUCUUUAUAAAGCAUAGAUGUGAUUAUUUUACUUUCCUGUUCAAAAAGCUACUGAGUCCAUCUUCCUUCUCCUGCAUUCAAGGCCUUCCUCGACCUGGCUCCAAUAUACAUUUUCUGAUCAUAUCUUGCCUCUAGCCAAACUACUCACUAUAUUUAAACAUAUUUUACACUUUUUCUGAAUUUGCUACAUCAUUUUUAGUCCCUGUCUUUUUCUAACUCUGCCAGUUUAAAACCUAUCAGUCCUCUGGAUUUACAUAGUUUUGGUUCAAUCUUGGAGAUUCAUCACUAAUUACCAUCAUUUUGGCUUAUGCUCUCUCCCAGAUUUUCCACUGAAAACAUUAUAAUUCAGCUACUAUUUAAGUCUAUUUAGAAAAAGAAAAGUGGCAGUCAUUUCUCAUGUAGUCAUUCUACCUAACAACAUAUCAAAUAUAGUUGAGACUUUAAUUAACCUAUCAGAAUAUGCAAAAAAACUUUUAUACCUAACCUACUCAAUAGCAACAACUCAUCCUGCCCUGGUGAAAAACCUUCACCUCCCCCCAAGAAUCUAUAUGUUUUCCUGAUUUAGACUACUGUCUCAGAGUUGAGAAUCUAUCACUACCCAAGAACAAGGAAGAGGGCCAACCCCUUCUCUCCUGAACCAAAACAAACCAUCUAAAUCCCAGCACCUGGUAUAAAAGAGAAUUCCUUACUCUGUUGUCUAUCCUGAGUUAACACUAACUUAAAUGCCCCUACUUAGUACCUCACUAGACUGAAGACAGGAUUAACUCCCCCUUGUCUACUUUUGAAUUGAAUCAACAAAAGAUUAAACACCCUACUUACCACUAGGUAGGAAGCUAGCAAAGUACUUAGAGAAUUCAUACCCUUAGAAAUCCAAUCAGCUGGGAAUCUGUGAAUUUUUUUGAUGAGAACUUAACCUUCAAAAGGUGAGAAGUUGAUCCUACAGACACUGCCCCCUGGGCAGUGCUAGACAAUUUGGAAACUGUGAUUGGCCCCUGUGAAGAGGGGAAGAGAAAAGAAGUCACAUAAAAAGCAAGCCCCAAACUCCUUCAAAGCAGAUUGUCUUUGAGAAGAUAGACUGAAGAGAUUGUCUUCUGGAGAUAAUCUUAGAUAGUUUUUGAGGGAGAUUCACUGAAGACUACUCCUUGGAUUGUGGGCUUGGAGUUCAGCUUCUACUGGGACUCUGAAUCUAAGGAUUACUUUGUUGGGUGAGUAAAAGGCUGACCUUUUUCCUACCUUCUGGAGAGACUAAUUUCCAUCUUGUAGGAGGCCAGGUGGUUACUCACUACCAGCCUUCCUGAUUGAGAACUAAUUAAUCUCUACCUGGAUUAAGCAGACUUUUGGCAAAGCAUUUAGGUUGAUAGGAUAGAUAACUUCUCUAUCCCCCUCACAUUUCUCUUCUUUAUUAUUUCUUCCCUAUUUGUAAAUAUUUGUAAAUAAAUUUCUGACUUGAUAAAAUAAAUGCUGGUGACCACAUAAUUUUAUAUAAUCAUUGUGCAACCAUUCAUUUUAACCUUUACACUGGGAAAGUCAUGGUCUAGGUUUGCCCCUCCACAUCCCAACUCUAGUUCCUAUAUAAUGCAAGAAUUCCUCUACUUGGUUCAGGAGCUUUUCCACUAAGUGUGGGUAUAUAGGAAGCUUGAUUCCAGAACCAUUCAUUGUCCAAGGCCUAUGCUACUGCUCUGCCACCAUUCCUCCACUGCUGUAAGAUUCUGUUACUUCAGCUCACUCUGGCCCAGGAUUCCCUGCCCUUUACUUCUCCCUCUCUGCUUCUCUCCUUGAGCUUACCUCAGCACCCUGAUACACAUGAUUCCCUGGAGAAGGAACUUGAAGUGUAUCUAUGUGUCUAAUCAGCUUCUCUCCACUCAUCUGGGCUCUAGUUGUCUCAUAGGUAUUGCCACCUCUCCAGACCUAAAAAAAAUCCAGGUCCAAGGGUAUUGCUCAGGUGGAUUACUAUCCAUGACUCAAUCAUUAAUCUUUAAUGUGGUAUGAACAGUUCCCCAGGCCAUAAUACUUUAUCAAGGUAACUCCAUUAGCCAGAACAAAUGCUUCAAAGAAUUAACCUGGUUAACAAGGAGAAUUAACCUGGUUAACAAGGAAAAUUAACCUUAUCAAGAGCUUAAUAUCUCAUUAAGGAGACAGGAGGGAUUUGAGAGGGCUUCAACAACCUCUAUAUUUGACAUGUCUUUUAUAUUUUUGUUCAUGUCUUAGAUAAGAUUCUCAAAUAUAUUUUAUUUAACAAUCACCCUCAUUAUCUAGCUUUGCACAUGGUAGACACUUUGUGAUAUUUGUUGACUGUUGCUGAUCAGAUUUACUGAUGUAAAUUCUGUCCUAAACAUCCCUGAAAUCCUUGGAGGCCCCUUUUCUUCCACCGACCUGUUUCGUAAUUAGCAAAAAAAGAAAAAGGGAAGAAUAAUCUUCUCUUGAAGAGAAUGUCAUGCCUAUUAUUUAGCAUGUAGUUAUAUAUUCUUGUUAACAUAAAGCUGGAAUGAGAGGAUUCUGAAAAACUAAGGAACUAGUUAUUCAUUUUUGUCUCCCCUGACUCAUGACUCAUGACCAAGGGAAAAAAAAAUUAAGGGCUGGAUUCAACAGGAAGAAGAAGAAAAUGAGGAUGGUGAAGAAUACAAUUUUUUACCUGCAGAGCCUCAAAUCUCAGGGAAGAUUUUGCUCUCAUUUGGGUUGCAGUGCAGCCCCAGGACCCAGAAUUGAGUUAAGGAACUGGAGCCCUUUGAAUAAAUCCUCUCUCUCAAUUUUAUUUAUUUGAAGACUGGACUCACAAUGGCUUUAUUUCAUUCUCAUUCUUUUAUACUGUGUUGUUCUUCUGAAUAUUUAAAAUAGUUUCCAAUGCUUUGGUAAAGCCAGAACCAUUCCAUUUCUUUUAGAAUGGAAGAGUACACAUUAUCUACAUGUGCUGAUUUAACCUCUAUUUCUUUAAGUAUCUUCUUACAUGAUUUGUAUAAAUAGAGAUUUGGACAAGGCCUUUGGCUGUGUCCCAGCAGGUCAAACAUCAGGAUUAUCUCUAGUCAAAUAGAGAUUUAUAAGAGCUGGUCCCAUGAAUUAAUAUUGUCUGCUCUUUGAAAACAAAUUUCUUUUAAAUGCUAUUGAUAAGGGUAAAGAUGAUGAGCUUGAUGAUGAUGUCAUUUCCUUUUAAAGUUACCAUGAAUUAAUUUAAUCCCCUCCAAAAUAUUGAACUAAAGAGUUUAAGUGUUCUAGUUUGCUUCUUUCUUACCCCUUCCAUUUUCAGGAUAUGUUCCUCCUUGUUUUCAUCUUGAUAUGAAGGGCACUUGGAAAAUAGUUAGCAUUUAUAUAGAGUUUUGAGGUUUAUAAAGUGUUUUAAAAGUAUUAACUCAUUUGAUCCUCAAUUGUUGUCCUGGGAGGCAAUUAUUAUCCCCACUUUACAGAUGAGGAAACAAACAGAUUAAGUGAUUUGCCCAGGGGCAUUGUAGCUAGUCAGUGUCUGAGGCCAGAUUUGAACCCUCAAGCCUUGAUGAUGGUAGGGCUUCCAGUUUCUUGAGUUCCUAUUUUAAUAGGAAUUGACCUAUGCAAUUGUCUUCCUACUGCUCUCUUUGUUCACUUCUGUUCACAAGAUAGAGUUUGGCUCUGAAGGAGACAUUAGCAAGCAACCAUCUAGUCCAACCUCUUCGUUUUCAGAGAGAAAACUGAGGUCCAGAGUGGCAAGUGUGUUAGCCAAAGGUCACACAAUAUAUUGGGACUUGAACACAGUUCUUUUCACUCUAGAAUUAGUGCUCUUUUCAUGUUGGCUCUAUUUGUAGGUGACCAGAACAGCAAUUUUAUCCUUGUUACUUGGGUGGCAACAGGUCAGGGCAGCUCAAGAGGGUGCCUGAGUGGGCCAACUACUGUUUUCAGGCAGGCUGGUCAAGUCCUGCUUGAGAAGAGCAGAGAUUGGGAAGAAUAGGGAAUCAGCACAAGUGGGAUUAGGAACCCAGGCUUUAGCGAUUUGGAAAUAAAGGGUCAGGGAUCUAGGCAAAGAGUCUAUGCAACAUGGAUUAAGAAACCCAGGCUGGACUCCAGAUCUGUCCAAGCAGACUCUAGGCCAGAAGCUGGGCAAAGUAACAGAAAGAAGACACCAUGUAGAAGAAUACGACUUUAUAUUGCCAGAUGUUCCCUAUAUAUCUUUUGGCCAGGCCAAAACUAUUUCCAAAAUGUGAGUGGACCAGAAGAAUGAGUUAGAGGCUAAUAGUCAGUGGCAUGCUUUCAUAAAAAUUUGUUAUGCCAGUUAACUUCAGUUUUAUUUUUAACCUGGUAAUUAGUCCUAUAGAUUUAGGAAAAUGUUGUAGAUAUAGUUUAUGUAGAUUUUAAUAAAGCAUUUGACAAGUCUCUAAUUAUAUCCUUCCAUCAACCAAUUAGCAUUUAUUAUCUUCUAUGGGCCUUGCACUGUGCUAGAUUCUAGGUAAACAAAAUACAAAAAUAUGAAAUAACGAGGCUUAUAUGCUAAUGAAGGAUACACGAAGUACAUAUAUAAAUAUAUGCCAAAGAAAUAUAAAGAGAAUUUAAACAUAUAAAGAAAUAUAAAGACAAAUGCAAAACAGUUAAAUGCACAGUAGUUUAGAGGGGAACACUAGCAAUUGGGAUGAAGAAAAGGUUUCAUGUUAAAGGUGGUACAUGAGCUGUGUCUUGAAGAGACAUCUUAAGGAAAUCCAUGAAAUAGAGGUGAAGAGGGAAUGCAUUCUAGGCAUGGGCUUAGAAAUGGGAGAUGGAGGGUCAUGUGCAAGGAGCAGAGAGAAAGCCAGACUGGAUUGCAGAGUAUGGGAAAGGUAUGUACAUGUAUUUAUAAUGUACAGUAGGGCUGGAGAGAUACCCAAAGGCCAUAAGCCAAACAGUUUUUAUUUUACCCUGAAGGUAAUAGAUGAGUAUAGGAGUGACUUUGGCAACAAUGUAGAGGAAGAUUAGAGUGAAGUGAGGCUUGAUUUAGAAAGACCAAUUAGGAGAUUAUUGCAAAUAUUUAGGUGAGAAGUGAUAAGAGGACAAACAGAAAGAAGGGCACAGAUGUGAAAGCUGUUGUGGAGGUAGAAUUGGCAAGUUGCAGAGGUUUGUCAACUGACUGAAUAUGUGGGGCAAGGGAGAGUGAGGUGUCAUGGGUAAUGCCAAAGUCAUAAACCUGGGAGAGUGGAAGAAUGGUGGCAACUUAGGGAGAAAUAGGGAAUUUGGAAGAGAAGUGGGUUGGAAGGGUAAGAUUUUGAGCAUGUUGAAUUUGACAUGACUCUAGGAUAUAGAGUUAGAAAUACCCAAAAGAUAAUCAACAUUAUGGGAAUGAAUCGCAGGGAAGAGACUAAGGCUCAAUAUGUGGAGUCACUUGCAUAGAAAUCAUAAAAAUAAAACCCACAUCAGAUCAUGAAGUUACCAAAAGAAAGUGAGGGAAAGAUAACAAGAUGGAGAGAUGAGUAGAGGAUAGUAAUGUGAAGAUUAAAGUUAACUCCCCCCUGAUUGUGAAGAUUAAAAUUAUAAUCCCUGCCUAUUUUUAGAUUUAAAUCACCAAAAAUGUAAACACCCAACUUAAAAGUUGAGUAUGGAGAUCUGUCCAUUUUUAGAUCUAAUCACUAAAAGUAUAAACAUCCCACUUAAUCAUUAAGUGGAAGGUCUGUGACCCAUGUGUGCGAUAGUGAGUGACGAAUCAGAAUCAACUGACUACCUCCUGGGCAGUCCUAAAGCAAAAGUUCAAAUGUGAUUGGUAGACAUAGAAUUAGGGGAAGGCACAGGAAGUGAUGCAAGAUAAAGUGUCUUUAAAAGAGAGUGACAACUUCCUGAAGGGUUCUACUUGGAGUUCUACUUGGAGAGGAGGCUGAAGAGAAUCUGCUGACUGAACCUGAGACCCUGUUCCUGGUGAGGCUGUUCUAAAAUCUCUUCCUUUGAACUGACACGUGGUGAGUGAAAAGCUGGCUCUUAAUUGCUAGAUUUUUCUGUAGAGACUUUCCCAGGUCCUAGGAUUUUGCCAAGGCCUAAGGACUAACUCUCCCUGCCUAGGGCUAUGAGUAAAUUACUUAGUGCUUAAGCUAGAUAUCUUACCCUAUCCUCUCUCUGAUUUUCUUACUUCACUCUUUCUAUAUUUUGUAAAUAAAUUGUAAAUAAAUCUCUUUGGAAUUAAUAUAAAUUCCUGGCAACCACACUCUUAAAUAAUCCAGUCCAACCCUUUUAAAAUUAACCCCUUUUCCCCCUUACAGUAAAAGUGUGUGAAUUUAGUCAGGUUAAAUGAUGAGACUCAAAAGAUUAAUCACAGGAACUUUCACUGGCGUGCCACAGGGAACUAUCCAUGACUCUAUGCUCAUUACCAUUUUUAUCAAUGAUUUAUCAGUGGAGCCUUGACACAGAGAUGACAAGCUGGCCACAUUAGCAAAUGGCAUGAAACUGGAAAGGUUAACUAAAAUGUUAGAUGACAGAAUCUGGAUGCAAAAUGUUCUUUCAGUCUAGAAUUACAGGUUCAAUCUAGUGAGAUUCACUUGAUGAAUCUCAUUCAACAGAUACUUAUUAAGCACUUCCUAGAUGCUAGGGAUACAAAGACAAAGAAAAGUAGUUCUUGCUCUCAAGGAGCUUACAGUCAAAUAUGAGUAAAAACAAAAUAAAUUCUAAAUGAUUUUGGUCAGGGUGGGGACAGAAAACACUAGCAACUAUGGAAUUCAGGGAAAACUUCUUAUAUAGGAGGUAAGCUAGGCAUUUUGAGAAACAGAGGUGAGCAUGGAGAGUAUUAUGAAGCAUGCUGGGCAGGAAUGUGAGGUCAGAGGAGGUACAAUAUAGAAUCAAUCCAAAAGGAUGGAUUAGAGACAGAUUGUAAGGACAUAUAAUGCCAAAGAAGUUUGUAUUUCUACAGCCAAUAGGGAACCAGUGAAGCUUCUACAGCAGGGGAGUGAUGUGGUCAGGUUAGCACUUUAGGAAUAAAAUACCAAGUGCUUUGUAAAGGAUGGAUUGGAGAUCAGGAAACCUAGAGGUAUUCCUUGUAGGACGCUAUUGUCAGAGUGUAAAAUAUUAUUAUUUUUUUUAAUUGCAAAGUUUAAAUUCCUUUUGAGAAAAAUUUUAGGUUAAGAAACAUGCUACCUCUCCGAAUCCAGAAAGUGAACUGUUUGGAGAACACACCAUGAAGAUGCUUCCACAGACUACAAGCUGCACCAGAAGAUUCAGAGUGAACCUUGGGAUGUGGUGAUUUGAACUGUGUGGGGUUGAAUGCAUUUGUUUUGUAUGUAUACUCUUAUGCCAAAGGGGACUGCCCCCUAACAGGCUUUUUGUCAAUGCACCUAGCAAUCAUUGGUUUUGUUCUCUUUUCUUCUUAUCCUCAAAUUAUUGUAAUUUCAAAGUUGGUAUAUUUACAAGACCUGUCAGAGAGACUAGUCUAUCUCAGCUCUCAGAGGAGGAAUGUAAAAAUGGAAAUUUUGAACCCUAGACUUCAAUCUCCAGAAGUCCUUGGUAUUUCCCAGAAUUCCCUAUAAUCACACCUGAGUCCCCACCUAGGCAAGAUCACAAUUGGUAUUUAACUGGCAGUAAAGCCUCCCAUGCUCUCUUCUAGGCUUUUCUCUCUGCCAUUGCAAUGAUGUAAUAAGUAAGCUAAGGGCAGGGAUUUGAAUGGGCGAAUCAGCCAUGGGCACAUGAUUAUUAUUUUGUACCUUCUUUAUUCCUCAAUUUCUAAUAAUCCUUAGUAAACCUCUAAAAAUAAUAUGUUUUUAUUAGUAGAGAUAUAACUUAAUUUUUACAACAGACAAGAAGAAAGGUUAAGGACCUGAACUAGAGGGGUAAUUGUGUGAGUUAAAUAAUAAACUUAAUAAGGAUUUUUAAGAACUUUUUUCUUUAAAAAAUGUUCUACACAAAUUCUAAAGUAAACUUGCUUCACAAGUAAAAGAUCAAGGAACCUUGACAAGGUAGCAAUUCAUAUGGAAGAGUUCUCAAAUUUUUACUGUAUUAGCAAUUCAAAAUAAGGCCACAAGUGAUACAGUAUCCAAUAAUAGCAAAGACUAGCCUAAGCUAUUUUAAAAAGCACAGUGUCCUAAAGAUAGUUCUAUACUGUAUUGUGUUCCCUGAUUAGAUAACAUUUGGAAUAGUACAUUUAAUUCUAGGUACCACAUUUUAGUGGAGCUAAAUAGUUCUCUGCUAGAUCUGGAGUUGGGAAGUCCUGAGUUCAGAUUUGGCCUCAGACACUUAUUAGCUGUGCCAACUCACUUAACCCCUAUUUUCCUCUCUUCCUUAUCUAUAAAAUGAGGACAUUCUGGAAAAGGAAAUGGAAACCCACUCCAGUAUCUUUGCCAAGAAAACUCCAUAGUCACAUAGAGGUGGACAUGACUGAACAACCACCACCACCAUAUUUUAGAGGACCUGACAAAAUUCACACUUUCCAGGCAGAACCUUUGAGAAUUCAGGGCCAGAUCUUUACAGCAUAAUGAGGCCUCAGAUGGAGAAUGGCACACUCCUUGUGCAUGCUUACCUCAAGAGAGAGAAGGGAAGGAUUAUGGUUGUUAUGACAGGUGGCAGGAACCUUACAUCUAAUCAUAGUUCUACCUCCAUGACCCAGUUCCAGAGAGACUAAAAGUUCUUCCAACCCUGUCUCCUAACUUUUUUCAGCCAGCUGGAUUUAUCCAUUCAGAUACCCUCCCUUCCCUUCCCUAAUUUGGCUUUCUGUCAAUGCGCCUAGCAAAACAUUGGUUUUGCUUUCUUUCUUUUCUAUUCCUCCAUCACUACUCUAAUUUCCUCUUAGAAAAUUGAAUAUUGUAUGAAUCUGUAGUUAGAAGUGCGUUUAGGACUACAAGAUGAUUAUGUUAAAUGAUCAAUGGAGAGACUAGUCUCCCAAUGAUCAUCAGGGGGGAUUGUGAAUCUUAAAACUGCUCAAACUCUACCUUAAAACAUUUGGUUAAGGUUAUUCCCCAUUUAAACAAUGGAAGUACUUGAUCAGGAAUGUAUUGGGAACUUUAAAAUUACUCCACCCAUACUUAGGCAUAUUUUAGGGGAAGAUAAAGUUGUAAACUCCUUACUGAACAAUGAAAAAGUACUUAACUCAUACUUAUAGUGAGGCAAAAGCCCUUAAGCUAGGUCUAUUUUUAGAUCUAAUACAAAAGGGUGCUAAGUACCUAUAAAAGUUAAAUUAAUCACUAAAAGGGCAAGCUUAGCAAAGAGAUGUGAAUUACUCAGAAGUUUUAGUCUGCCCAGAGAAGUGAUGAUAAGAUGUGAAUUGGAAUGGUCAGUCCUUUGGAAAAUGUCUACUGUGAUUGGUAGAUGUGAAAAUUUAGGGGAGGUGACAUAGGAGAAAAUUCUCUUUAAAAGGAGGUCAGAGGCCUCUGGACUGAGUCAGCUUAGGAGGCUGAAUUGGAGUCUCUCAGUGGCUGAACUUAGUUGAGCUCAGGAACUUAACUGGAGGGUCUCUCUGAACACCAGAGUUUUGCCUGGGACAAAGUCUUGUGGUGAGUGAUUAAGGACUCACUAGUCUCUCUUAAAGCUCAGGCCUAGGCCAAUGGCCUAGACCCUUUCCUACUAUUUCCUCUGCCUCUCUCUCUCUCUCUCUCCCCCUUUCUUUAAUUCCUUCACUCGUAUUAAUUAAAAUCUCCAUAAAACCCAGCUAACUUGGGUAUUUCAUAUUUGGGCAUUUUCCCCCAUGGCGACCACUUAUUUUUUAUUUAAAUCAAGACACUAAAAAUUAUCUUUACGGUUUGGCAAUUCACAGUCUUGAACCCACAUUUUCACAGUCACGGUUUAUGGCAACCACUCUUUUGUCUGUAACACUUCCUACAUGUAUCAAGGCUAACUGGCUUUGGUAGUUACUCUGGAAAACAGAGCUAUCAAAUGCUUCAUCACAAUAGGACCAAGGUUUUGAGAGGCUGGAUGAGAGUGGGCUUGGAAGUUGAAAAUCAAGGACCAGAACACUCCUAUGAAGAUCAAGCAUGUUGGGAGCCCUUUAGGCUUCUUCUAUAUAUUAUGUUUAGUUCCGUCAGUAAAUUUGGCCACUUCUUCAUGGUAAAAAUAAGUCAUUAAGUGUUUAUUAGGCUCCUACAAUUUGUUUGGCAGUGUGUAGAAUAUGGAAGUGAAAGGAUAGUCCUUGUUCUCAGAGAGCUUAUGUUCUAAGCUGGGAAAUAAUAUACACCAUAAGGCAUUAUACACUCAAGUUUUAAAUUGUUUAGAAUAGACAACUUUAAUAGGAAUUUGGGGGGGGGUGAAGAUGAAUAAGAGCCGUAUAAGUUGGAGGAAACUUCACAGAGGAAGAGAUACUUCAAAAGACAGAGAUGGAAAGGAUACCUUCAAGGUCAUCUAGUCUGAUCCCUAUAUUUUACAGUUGAGGAAACUAAGAGGAAAUGACUUGCUGCUUGGUCGCAGAGAAACUGAACGGCAGAACAGAUAGCAUUUUUCCAACAGUGUCCCUAAACUGAGCAAAACUUUGAAGAAUGGGCAAAAAAUAGAGAGGAGAGGGGCUUUUGGGCCUGAUGGGGGAAGCAAAGGUAGUCUUUAGAAUGGAGGGAGAGGCCAGCCCCUUUCUCUGGGAUUCUCUUUGAAUUUCCCAGUCACUGCUCUGUUAGGAGAUUCCAGUUCUUUAUAUGAAAAAUACAAACCAAGACCAAUUCCAAAGAGAAAGUAACCACCACCAGAGACAGAAAAGUCAGUCUUGUUGGGUGAUGACUGAAUCCCCGCCUUAACCAGCCAGAGGGAGCCUGGGAAUGCAAAGUUCAUGAUUAUGCCAAAAGCACAGCACACAUUCCAAAGUGCAGUCACCCCCUCAGACAAAGAAGGCCCCACCCCACCCAGGCACAAGGCACAGACCUGCUCCAAGUAACCCAAGGGUAGCCUGGGGCUCACAGUUCACCUGGAGGUUUGACUGGUUUGUUCCCUUGUCCUUUUAAUACUUGCAAAGGGAGUGUACACUUGGGCAUCCGAGUUGGUUUUUUCUCAGGUUUUCACAGGGUUGUCCUUUGCCUCAUUCUUUGCAUUUACUUCAACUUGUAUGACAUGUAAGUGUCACCAGAGUAUGGUCAGUACCUAAGCGUUGAUGGGGAUAGUGUAGAAUUGUUAGAGGAGAACCUGAAUCUUUUCACAGUUUGAUUUCUCACAUGUGGCAAAGCCCUCGCCUGGCAUCAAGCUGUGUUGGGCAGCAGUCCGAAGAAAUAGUAGCAAGCUCUUUGUGCCCUGCCCCUCCCAGACGCGCUGCAAACAAACUCUACAAGGUUAAAAUCUCUGCCCUCUGCUCCUGAUUCCCUGCGCAGCCUUGGACAAGUCAUUAACUCUCUCUGGGCAUUUUUCUUCAUUUUCAGGAAGUCUUCAUUGAGCCUGACGAGGCCAAGUGACUUUUUAAGUAGUGGUAAAGCAAGAAUUCUUGUUCAAGAUUAGUUGGCAUAUGGGAUCCCUUCCAAGUUCUAGACUCGGUCUGAUGCUAACAGUCUAUGACUCUUCACAAAUAAGACUUAUAGAGCUAGUAUGGCAUAAUAUACAAAGGCUUUGGAACCCAGAAGCCUUGGGUUCAAGGACUGCCUCUGGCACUGAGCUGUGUGGCCCAGGUGAAAUUACUUAACCUCCCAGUGCCUAAGGCACACUGUCUAUAAAUUACAAGAGAAUUGAUGAUCUGUGACCUGGAAGAGAGUUUCGAUGUUGAGAGUUUUCUUGUGGAUGACAUCAAUGUGUCCAGAGUUCUUCCCCACCCCCAGGAUCAGAUUAACUGGGACCUCAUUGUUUAGCCCCUCCCCGCCCCUGCUCCCCUCCCUUUUGCUUCCCUGGUGUUGCUGCUUAAACCCGUGAUCCUCUGGAAGCCAGGCAGUUUCUCAUAGUCCCAGGACCAUAAGCGCGCAAAGCCACCUCAGAGCUCCCCUUUGGCUCCACUUGUUCAGCCCCUGAGUUUCUCUGGCCCAGCAGGCAGAGAAUGGGCAUAGGAAUUGUUAAUUUAACAACUCACAGAAAUAUGGAAGUCAAGUUUCCUACAAUAGAACCAAAAUAGAGUCUUGAACCCUGACCUCCAGUGGAGAAGUGAUGAGUCUUGGUACACUCAAAACACAGAGUAAAAGACAAAGGGAAUUUGAGCAGAAAUAUUCCUUUGGGCUCAGUUCUUCACCCUCAGGUCCUGGCCUUGAGUGCUUCCUGCCUGAUCCCUCUGUCAGGAUUGAGGCUUGUUAGGAUGGCACAUUUGAGUUGCCUUUCAUUGCACUAUCUGCCAAGCAUGAUUCGAUGCAUAAAAUUAGGAGGUGAAGGCAAAUUGUCUUUCCUCAGUUGCUCUUUCAUAAGGUAGAGUCUUGAUUUAUAAUAAAAGGUAGGGAGGACAUGAGGAAUUUAAUCAGUCAGAGUAGGAUGUAACAAGGCCAGGGCUUUCUCAUUGUCUGUGUCUUAAUACUGGUCACUCGUGCUAUCUCCAAACAUGUAGGUCUGGGCAAGUUGCCUAUGUUGACCAUAUACACAGCAAGCUUGUGGUCUGUCCAUCCCUCAAGGAACUUUGUUUCUUCUCUUCUUUCCUAGGACUUUUCUCCUCUGAGUGCUGCUGAGAACUUCUCACAAGGCAAAACAUCUUAAGAAUCUCUUCAUCAAACACAGCCAAUGUCUUCUCUGGACCAUUAAGAGA